rnacentral:rRNA from 1 species
UACGUAGGGAGCAAGCGUUGUUCGGAUUUACUGGGCGUAAAGGGCGCGUAGGCGGCGCGGUAAGUCACUUGUGAAAUCUCUGAGCUUAACUCAGAACGGCCAAGUGAUACUGCAGUGCUAGAGUGCAGAAGGGGCAACUGGAAUUCUCGGUGUAGCGGUGAAAUGCGUAGAUAUCGAGAGGAACACCUGCGGCGAAGGCGGGUUGCUGGGCUGACACUGACGCUGAUGCGCGAAAGCCAGGGGAGCGAACGGG